rnacentral:sRNA from 1 species
GAGGAUGAGUACCUCCGCAGGAGGUUCGAGCCUCGCGAAGCGAGACAACGUUGCUUCAGCAACGGCCCGCAGGGCGCGCAUCAAGGAUGCGCGUAAUCCUCUCUCGCCGAC